UACGUAGGGCGCAAGCGUUGUCCGGAAUUAUUGGGCGUAAAGAGCUCGUAGGUGGCUUGUCGCGUCUGCCGUGAAAGCCCAUGGCUUAACUGUGGGUCUGCGGUGGAUACGGGCAGGCUGGAGGCUGGUAGGGGCAAGCGGAAUUCCUGGUGUAGCGGUGAAAUACGCAGAUAUCAGGAGGAACACCGGUGGCGAAGGCGGCUUGCUGGGCCAGUUCUGACGCUGAGGAGCGAAAGCGUGGGGAGCGAACAGG
rnacentral:rRNA from 1 species